rnacentral:rRNA from 1 species
UACGGGGGGAGCAAGCGUUGUUCGGAUUUAUUGGGCGUAAAGGGCGCGUAGGCGGCCACCGCAAGUCAGUUGUGAAAUCUCUGGGCUUAACCCAGAAAGGUCAACUGAUACUGCGGGGCUAGAGUGCAGAAGGGGCAACUGGAAUUCUCGGUGUAGCGGUGAAAUGCGUAGAUAUCGAGAGGAACACCUGCGGCGAAGGCGGGUUGCUGGGCUGACACUGACGCUGAAGCGCGAAAGCUAGGGGAGCAAACAGG